GUGGCAAUGGAGGAACGGAGAGGGCAGAAGUCAUCUGUCGCCGCCUCAAAGUGGCCCGUCAGGUUUGUGGUCCGAACUGUCGGUUGGUGGAAGAGGCCUGCCUUUUGCACAUCCAUUAUGCCAGAAUCCUAAUAGCGAGCCAGGCUUCAAGGCGAUGGGACCAUGAGGCAGGAAGUUCCACUGACUCCUGUCCUGACACAUCAAGGGCAAAGACCUUCAGGUUCGGGGGCCAAAUGUGGCUUCUCGGGGCUCUCCCCAGACCACAUCCCAUGGCCGUACCCCUCACUGGCCCUGCUGAGUGUUUUUGCCUGACUGGAAUGUGUCAUCGAACCCUGAUCCUGCCUCUUGCUGGCCUGAUUGAGGGGAAAGGGUAGGCGAGUGUGUAGACCACAACUAGCCUGUGGUUCAAAGUUGCAAUUUUUAUAUUAAUGGCUCCACCCACGCUUGCCUCUGGCCCCACCCACAACUAGCAUGUGGCCCUUGGGAGGUUGCCCUGAGGGGAAGGCGGCCCUUGGGUUGAAAAAGAUUCCAGCCCCUUGACCACUGUGGCCACAUUUACAAUGAUACCACUUUAUAUGGUCAUGGCUUCCAUCAAAGAUUCCUGAGAACUGUAGUUUGUUAAGGGUGCUGAGAGACCCGUAUCUCCCUUCACACAGCGCUGCAAUUCACAGAAUUCCCUGGGAAGAAGGGUUGGCGAUUACACCCCUCUGGCAGUUGUAGCUCACCAGACAGGUCAUUCCGCAAAUGGGGUACUACUACCAAGAAGGCCCUGUCGCAGGCCAGCGCCAAUCGAUUGCAAUUCCAAUUUUGUGAUUAGACAUGAGAUGAAGCAAAACAGGAAAAAUGCAUUGGGUGCUGAAAGCAGACUCUUGUCGGGACAUGACACAGUCGGGGCACUAGCUGGCCACGAGAGGAAACUGAAUUUGUGGCUGAGUGUGAGAACAUCAGCGCCUGAGAAAAAUACGAAAGAGGGCUUCAUCCACGGGCCUGUUUGGUCUACUCAUUUAAGAGAGACUCGGCUAAAAAUGAAUCUCUUGUGAGGAAACCUUUUUUUUUUUUAGCUUCUGCUUCAGAUUGUGCUAGUGACACAUUGGGGAAACUAUGAAGCCAUCGCUAGUUUCAGAAGGGCUGGAAAAGCAUCAUGGACAUGGAAAAAGCGGUGCUUUUUGUUCCUGUGGCAGCAAAAUAGCUUCCACUCAUACAUGAUUAGAGGAUGACAACCCAGCGCCCACAGGCGCCCGGGCGCCCACCAACAGCUAUGGCACCUGCGAAAGGUCCCAAUGAAUACCUCCCUUCAGAAAUCCACAGGGGCCAAAUUGAGGGGGAGCAUGCCUGUCCCAUUUUGGUUUGGUCCCAUUUGUCUUUUACUGCUUUUAGAUGCGGCAGCCAUUUUGUGCAAUUAAUCACGUCCUGAACAACUGCCUCAAGUUUAUAUGCCAAAAUGGCAAACAUAUUGACUGGCAAUGGCUCUCCAGGAUUUCAGACAGGAAGUCUCACCCAGUGCUAACUGAAGGUGCCAUAUAUGAAGUCCAAGCUUUCCUACAGCUCUUGCCAAUGCACCUUCAAAUUUGGAUUCAAAAACUGGGACGGGUGAGGCCCCAAAUACACCAGGCCAGGCAUGCCGGUUAAUGGAAUUCUCAACAGAUAAAAGAUUUGACAUGGGAGA